rnacentral:rRNA from 1 species
UGGGGAAUAUUGGGCAAUGGGCGCAAGCCUGACCCAGCAACGCCGCGUGAGGGAAGAAGGUCUUCGGAUUGUAAACCUCUGUCCUUGGGGACGAAAAAAAUGACGGUACCCAAGGAGGAAGCUCCGGCUAACUACGUGCCAGCAGCCGCGGUAAUACGUAGGGAGCGAGCGUUGUCCGGAAUUACUGGGCGUAAAGGGUGCGUAGGCGGUGUGGCAAGUCAGAUGUGAAAUCCCCGGGCUUAACUCGGGUGGUGCAUUUGAAACUGCUGAACUUGAGUGCAGGAGAGGAAAGCGGAAUUCCUAGUGUAGCGGUGAAAUGCGUAGAUAUUAGGAGGAACACCAGUGGCGAAGGCGGCUUUCUGGACUGUAACUGACGCUGAGGCACGAAAGCGUGGGGAGCAAACA